rnacentral:rRNA from 1 species
GAUGAACGCUGGCGGCGUGCCUAAUACAUGCAAGUCGAGCGAACGGACGAGAAGCUUGCUUCUCUGAUGUUAGCGGCGGAGGGGUGAGUAACACGUGGAUAACCUACCUAUAAGACUGGGAUAACUUCGGGAAACCGGAGCUAAUACCGGAUAGUAUUUUGAACCGCAUGGUUCAAAGGUGAAAGACGGUCUUGCUGUCACUUAUAGAUGGAUCCGCGCUGCAUUAGCUAGUUGGUAAGGUAACGGCUUACCAAGGCAACGAUGCAUAGCCGACCUGAGAGGGUGAUCGGCCACACUGGAACUGAGACACGGUCCAGACUCCUACGGGAGGCAGCAGUAGGGAAUCUUCCGCAAUGGGCGAAAGCCUGACGGAGCAACGCCGCGUGAGUGAUGAAGGUCUUCGGAUCGUAAAACUCUGUUAUUAGGGAAGAACAUAUGUGUAAGUAACUGUGCACAUCUUGACGGUACCUAAUCAGAAAGCCACGGCUAACUACGUG